CCGCCGCCUGGGUCACGCACCUGAGCGGUGCCGGCGGCACCGGCAGAGACAGCUGGGCACGGCCUGCAGGGGGCGCCCGAAGACUAGCGAAUAGGGCACCCGCGGCGGCCGGGAGGUUCAGCUCCCCGGCUGUGCCCGCACACUUGGAAUCUGAGCGGGAACGAGGAACGGUUGGAAGUUUAUUUGGGGGAGCGAGAGAGGAGCGUGGAAGUCAGGAAGCUAGAAUCGGGGAGGGGCAGCAAGACCUUUUUGGAUUUUUAGCCAGGACUAAGAGGGUGAAGGAAUUUAUCGCGAUGGAGGCGCGGGGGGUGCAGUCCCCGCCUCCGUCCGUGUAAGGAGAGGCUGCUCUCCCAACGGACCUAGCUGCGCAGGGAGCUAGAAGCUUGCCUUCUCGGACGGGGCGCCCGACUCCCCUCUAAAAUAGGGUGUCUGCUCCUCUCAUUUCCACGGAACCCCCUGCUGCCUGUGGGGCAAAGGGAAUCCUUAGGAGACGGGCAGGAGGACCCAGUCAUUCUCUGGUUUCACAAAUAUUUAUGGAAAACCAACCACUUUCCAGGUUCCGUUUUAGGCACUUUACGGAAUCACUUGCCAACGCCAGCAGGAGGCCUGCCUUAAUGAAGCCUGUCUCCUAUCGCGGGAGCUUACGGUGACAACGGCCCUGAUAAAUGACCAAAGAUUGGAAACUUCUAGAAGGAAUGACCGUUGGACUGUUAAUGAGAAGCAAAGCUUGGAUUGACCUUUUUAGUUUUCUCUCUAGGGCCCCUGCUGAUCUGACCCCCAUGAGAGCCCAGAUAAGCAGUGGAGGCUGCCCAGUCCUGCUGUUCCCAAGGUGCCAGAGCAGGUCUGGGACACAGGGACAGCCUUCUCCCCAGGCUCCCAGCCCGGCUCAGGGGACAAGUGUCCUGCCUGAAGCAGCCCCCUCCUGUCUCCUUCUUGGACCUCAGCUCCUACAAGCAACGUGCACCAUUUUAUUUUCCACUGAAACAAGCUUUUAAGUUAAGGCAAGUUCAUCCCCCUAAAUGUAACCCUUUCACACCUCUAUUUUCUCCCCUGUUAAAAAUACUAAACAAAAUGUCAUUUAAAUCUCAGAGACAAUUCUAGAUGGACCUAGCCAAACAGCAGCUGAGCAAGAUCUCUUGGCCCAACAUCCUAUUUCUGCAGAGGCAGCAGGUGCACCAGCUCUAUGCUUGUAUAAGAUGUUGUAAAAGAAAGACAUAAUGUAACGCUUUCCCUGACCCUGGC